CUUUGUUCUCCUUAUCAUGGUUACAUAAUGAUGCAUCCUGCCUUAAACUAAUGAAGGAUCAAACUCAACAGAUGCUGUUCUUUAUAUAGCACAGAUGAGAAGAUAUCCCACGAACCCAUAUUGGAAAAGAAAGAACCAACUAGGAUAUUAUUAUACAAAGGAGUUGCACAUGGAUAGAAAGGAAAGAGAAAACACUUGGUCUACAAAUAACACAUAUACAUAAGUCACUGGCAUCAUGUUACAUAAAAUUCAGUAAUCAGCAAUAUCAAUUCCCCAAAUUGGUGAAUAUGCGUCGUCUUAAGCCUAGCAUCAAGACUGCCUUCUGCAUUACAAUAUAUAGUGAACCACCUGGUGGGGGAAUUGCUCUGGCUCUCCAAGAACUAGCAUCUGUUGUUACAUAAAUAAUUCAGCUCAAGUUUACUACUAGUCAUAAGCAUUGAGAUUAGCAAAAAGCCAUUUAUCCCAUUAAAUACAUCUACAGCCAUCUUUGAUCACAAGAACGCACACUUAUUCUGAACUACCCUCUUAAAAGUAUGAGAUUAAACCCAAUAGCUUGUUUCAAAGCCAAUCAUCAAUGUCUGACAAGCUAUAACGCAAUAGUUAGCAAUGCUUUCCUGACAAGGACAAGCUGAAUUUAUAAGGGUUACUGAAAGCCCCUGUAAGACAAAGCAUCUCUAGUUUUCCUAUGUCAAGCUUUCACCAUUAGUUCUGACCAGCAAACAGAUUUUGGCUUCAAAGCUCUAACAUUCAAUGAUCUGCAAAAAUCACAGAGUCGUUUACCUACUCUUCCAAGGAUUUCUUGUUUCCACAAAUAAUACACGUUCUUGAAAAUUUAUAAACAUGAAUAUACAUACCGGAUGAUGAUCAAUAGUUAACUAUGCCAUUCAGAUUUAUCUUUAGUUCUUCACUAAACAUCAUCCCUUGUAUAUGACAGGUUUACGGUUAUCAUGGAGAAAGCAAUAAUUUCUCAAGAUAGCAGCGUGCCACCCACGUCUUCAAAUGCAAUAAAGCAGCAUUAGCACCCCUUAAAGUUUUGACAUGAUUAGAAGAAACAACUACCUCUUAUUUGCUUGUAUAAUUUUGAUAUUAUGGUCGACUAUAUAAGCACUGUAAUUGCAAAGAUGUGAUCUUAAGGUAACCCUUUGCUUCAUCCUAGAUGUGCUGGAGGUCAAACUUGCCUCUUACUUGUGGAGGACCAUAAUUUUUUAUUACAUACUCUUGUCAGCAAGCAUCGUAUUUUCUCGGGAUUCUUAAGCGGACGCUAGAGUUCUACAUCGUCACCUUUUCUUGGCUCGUCUCUUAAUUUCAGAGGUUUCAGUGCAUUUGUCAUAUUUUUCCUUGAAGAUGCCACUGGGCUAGGACAAUGACAUAUAUCACAGGAUACUUUCCUGUCGAUAAAUUGCAUACUGCCAUUUCUUUUUUUUUUUUCCUUUUGGAAGGUAGACAAAAUACACAAGGCUUAGCAAGUUCAUACUAAAUACAAUAGGCACAUACACACACGCGCACGUACGUGCAUAGCGUGCGUGCGCACACGCAUAUAUAUAUUAAAAUAAUAUGGUUAGAGAAAAUGUUACAAAACUGAACUAGUUACUAAACAAAGCAUACUGGUUUAGUAACAAACAAUUAAAUAGCCAAAAUAGAGUACAAGGCAAGGAAAGGCAGAUAAACAAACAUCAGACAAUAUUUAUGGCUGGAAAAAGCAUAGAAACAAACAUUGAUAUAUUUAUUGACUUCCCCUUUUGAUGGUACGCGGUAAAACAAGGAUGGUAGGAUCAAAACACAUUUGUAGUCGGGAAGUGAAAGCUGGCUUGUACCGUUUCUUAAAGCAAGCAUCACCUGCACGGUGGUCCUCCUGCGAAACGCGAAAGCCAAGGAUCAUGCUGUUGAUAUAACAAUAAAAUGAAUAAUAACAUAGAAGCAUAGCAGUACUUGGAAAACGAAAAAAAUGCUCUCUAAUGCUAUGGAACAUAAUAUCAAUAAACAAGUUGGCCAAGCAGCUGAAUUGUAAGAAAUUUCGUUCUGCAGUCUUUUCUAGAAUUUGUUCACCUUUCAUCCAAACAGAAUGUAAUUGGGGCUUUGUGCUUAAAUUCAUUUCACUUACCCUAAAUUACUAUCACGACAUUGUGAUACUUGAACUUGAAAAAAGGAAACCUUAUACCUCUAAAGUGCUUACGGAAAUGAUAUAAAUUCUAUUCAAGAAGCAAAGAAGCACUUCUGAAAAUUAACUCAAAUAUCUCCUUUGUUAGUUGUUUGAUAUUUUUUUCCAACUAUUAAAAUUGGCCACCAGAUAAAGCGAUUUGAGGUGCUUCACUUAAAAAUUUCAACAAGUCAAAAACCUGAGCUCCGUUCGUCAUCGAAGAGACCUCAUGAUUCAACUUCUUUGGCUCAAAAAAUUUUAGCUCAAGAAAAUCCAAGAAAACGAAUACAUUUCAAAGGAGAAGAUAAAAAUAGAUAACAACAUUAAUUGACUAAAAAGAUUCCAGUUCAUUAAUUACAUGACAGGGAUGGAAAACAAAAAAACUGAAGCAAUCACAUCAAAAAAAAAAAGAGGAAAGAAAAAGAAAGCGAUAGAUUACCUUGAGGCGCUGGUGCCGUCGACGAUCACGGGAUCCCAAAUGAAAUUGCAGGCAGCAACCUCCUCGACAAGCCUAUUCAUCCACCGUUUUUCCGAACCGAACCCAUCUUCCCAAAAUCCCCUUCUCGAAAUUUAAAGAAACUGCUACCGAUUGGCUUAAUUAACAAAAUAAAUUCGUAGCAGAAAAAUUAAAACAAAAAAACCCCAAAAUUAGAGAGAAAGAGAGAAGUCGAAGGAAGGUAGGAGCAGAAGCGGCGACCAACGAUUCAAUAUCUUUGGAGAGAUUUAAAAAGGGAGGGAUGGAAAUGGAGAGAGCAGUGGAGAAUGGUAACGGGGUGAUGCAGAGGGCGCGAGUUAGAUUGAGCCGUUUCCGGCGUCCUUUUUUUUCUUCAAAAAAAAAAGUGAUCCCGCUCCCCAAAAGACGCACCGCCAAUCGGGUUGGAUCAAAAAUCCAUCAAUGUACCCAUUCG
rnacentral:lncRNA from 1 species